rnacentral:rRNA from 1 species
AGAAUCAACGCUGGCGGCGUGCCUAACACAUGCAAGUCGAACGAGAAAGUGGAGCAAUCCAUGAGUAAAGUGGCGCACGGGUGAGUAACACGUGACUAACCUACCCUUGAGUGGGGAAUAACCUCGGGAAACCGGGCUAAUACCGCAUAACACCUACGGGUCAAAGCAGCAAUGCGCUUGGAGAGGAGUUCGCGGCCGAUUAGUUAGUUGGCGGGGUAAUGGCCCACCAAGACGAUGAUCGGUAU